UGAGUGACGGGGGAUGGAGUGGACAGAGUGGAGUGAGUGAGUGUGGGAUGGAGUGGAUAGAGUGGAGUGAGUGAGUGUGGGAUGGAGUGGACAGAGUGGAGUGAGUGACGGGGGAUGGAGUGGACAGAGUGGAGUGAGUGAGUGAGGGAUGGAGUGGACAGAGUGGAGUGAGUGACGGGGGAUGGAGUGGAUAGAGUGGAGUGAGUGAGUGGGGGAUGGAGUGGACAGAGUGGAGUGAGUGAGUGAGGGAUGGAGUGGACAGAGUGGAGUGAGUGAGUGUGGGAUGGAGUGGACAGAGUGGAGUGAGUGACGGGGGAUGGAGUGGACAGAGUGGAGUGAGUGAGUGAGGGAUGGAGUGGACAGAGUGGAGUGAGUGAGUGUGGGAUGGAGUGGACAGAGUGGAGUGAGUGAGUGUGGGAUGGAGUGGACAGAGUGGAGUGAGUGACGGGGGAUGGAGUGGACAGAGUGGAGUGAGUGAGUGAGGGAUGGAGUGGACAGAGUGGAGUGAGUGACGGGGGAUGGAGUGGACAGAGUGGAGUGAGUGAGUGGGAGAUGGAGUGGACAGAGUGGAGUGAGUGAGUGGGGGAUGGAGUGGACAGAGUGGAGUGAGUGAGUGUGGGAUGGAGUGGACAGAGUGGAGUGAGUGAGUGAGGGAUGGAGUGGACAGAGUGGAGUGAGUGAGUGAGGGAUGGAGUGGACAGAGUGGAGUGAGUGACGGGGGAUGGAGUGGACAGAGUGGAGUGAGUGAGUGGGGGAUGGAGUGAGCAGAGUGGAGUGAGUGAGUGGGGAUGGAGUGGACAGAGUGGAGUGAGUGAGUGAGGGAUGGAGUGGACAGAGUGGAGUGAGUGAGUGUGGGAUGGAGUGGACAGAGUGGAGUGAGUGACAGGGGAUGGAGUGGACAGAGUGGAGUGAGUGGGGGAUGGAGUGGACAGAGUUGAGUGAGUGAGGAUGGAGUGAGCAGAGUGGUGUUACUCCUGCACUCAUGUGUGCUUGUGAGACCCCAUGAGGAUCACAGCCACCUUUAAACGCAGCUCUGGCUGAUGUGCUUUUUCCCAGAAAUGCAUUUUAUUUUUAUAAUAAUAAUAAUAAUUAUUAUUAUUACUAUUGAGACAGGGUUUUGCUCUUUUGCCCAGUCUGGAGUGCAGUGGUGUGGUACUGGCUCACUGCCACCCCCAUGUCACUGGCUGAAAGGAUUCUCCUGCGUCAGCCUCCUGAGUAGCUUGGUCCACAGGCGCAUGCCACCAGGCCCAGCUCAUUUACUUUUAUUUUUAAAUUUUUGUAAAGAUGGCAUCUUACUACGUGGUCCAGGGUGGUCUUGAACUCCUGGUCUCAAGUGAUCCUCCCACCUUGGCCUCCCAAAUUGUUUGGAUUACAGGUGUGAGCCACUGCACCUGGCCUCAAAGUGUAUUUUAGAGUAUGUGUCAUUGCCUGAAUGGCAUUUCUUUCACUGGAUUAGGUCCAUGUGACUUGAUGGGGCAGCAGCUGUCCUGGAUGAGGUCUUGGCAGAGACCAGGGCCGGGGGUGCUCAUGGGCCUCUGUAGGUAAGGACAGUGUCCAGGCAGGGCAGCCUCCUUCAGCCUGUGUGGUCGGCAAGGCCAGGCUCCUUCCUCGUUUCACCUGAGGGGCAGAUGCAGCCCUGCGUGGCCCAUCCCAGGCGAGCCCAGACAGCCACAUCCACCAAUGGGACGCCCUGAGAAAGGGCCUGGCUGGCAGCCCCACCUGGAUGGAGUUUGCCUUCAAGGCACUUGGCCCACAGCAGGACAAUCAGGGCAGCAAGGCCUCGGAA
rnacentral:lncRNA from 1 species